GCCGCGAGGGACAUCUUCCUCACGCGAGACCAAUACUUAAGGGUGCCUCCGAACUGGUGCGCAAACAAGGCCGAGUGCUGGUCUAUGAUGGUGGACAAGUGGAUCAGCGAGGAUUGGGCCCGCCAGCAAGCCUUAUGCCAAGAGCGCCGCUUGAUGAUGCCGGGUCCGGCACAUCAUCAAGGGAGCCUUAGCCUCGGCGAGUACAAGAAUACUUGGUCGGAGUCUCAUCUAGGCCAGUCUUGCAACGACUUCACGGCGUACGCCAUGUCUCACAUGGGCGGGGCGA